AAGAGCUCAGAUUUGAAAUCGUGUUUCGGCACGAGUUGUAGAGUGUAGGCGGGAGUCUCUGUGGAGCGCGGUGUCCAAGUCCCUUGGAACAGGGUGCCUGAGAGGGUGAGAGCCCCGUAGGGUGCUGCGCGAAGCUUUUGAGGCCCUGCUGACGAGUCGAGUUGUUUGGGAAUGCAGCUCCAAGCGGGUGGUAAAUUCCAUCUAAGGCUAAAUAUUGGCGAGAGACCGAUAGCGAACAAGUACUGUGAAGGAAAGAUGAAAAGCACUUUGAAAAGAGAGUGAAACAGCACGUGAAAUUGUUGAAAGGGAAGGGUAUUGGGCUCGACAUGGGGGGUGCGCACCGCUGUCUCUUGUAGGCGGCGCUCUGGGCGCCCUCUGGGCCAGCAUCGGUUCCUGCUGCGGGAGAAGGGGCUCCGGAAAGUGGCUCUUCGGAGUGUUAUAGCCGGGGCCAGAUGCCGCGUGUGGGGACCGAGGACUGCGGCUUCUGUCUCGGAUGCUGGCAUAACGGCGCAAUACCGCCCGUCUUGAAACACGGACC
rnacentral:rRNA from 1 species